GAUGAAGAACGCAGCGAAAUGCGAUAAGUAAUGUGAAUUGCAGAAUUCAGUGAAUCAUCGAAUCUUUGAACGCACAUUGCGCCUCCUGGUAUUCCGGGAGGCAUGCCUGUUCGAGCGUCAUUAAAAUCACUCAAGCUUAGGUUUACCUAUUGCUUGGUCUUGGAGAUGGAAGCCAAUUCAUUGGAAUCCUCUUCGAAAUCCAAUGGCGAAGACCCUUGCUCUCCCAAGUGUAGUAAUAACUUAUGUCACUGAAGGAAGCGAGAAAUCUUCCGCCGUAACCCCCAUAUUUUCUAUGAUUGACCUCGGAUCAGGUAGGGAUACCCGCUGAACUUAAGCAUAUCAAUAAGCGGAGGA
rnacentral:misc_RNA from 1 species